GAGAGAGUGAAUGAGAGUGAAAAGAAGAAGAAAACAUUUAAUGAGAUACAAAACGCAGAAAGCAGAAGACGAAUUCGUGGUAGAAAUCGAUCGUUCUUUCCCGUGAGAGUCUCCCUCGGGAUUCGCGAGGAUCCACGCGUAUAAACUUCGCACGGACGACGACAGGCACGGACGCAACACCGAAUCCUCCAUGGAUUAUCCGGAUUUGCGCGACCGACCGUCCGGUGUGCGUCCACUAGGAUGACGCUGAGGACGUUGACGUUUCUACCAAGAGGACACGUGCAAACCGGUUAGGAAUGAUAACUACUUGCUUAUCCUAUAUAUAUGUGUGUGUGUAUGCAUAUCUUGAUAUCCAAGACGAACGUACAUAAAAGCAUCUUUGGUGGUAACAAACAUAGGAGUAUGUCUCGCGAGAUAUUAGAAGCGAUUUCAGAUAGUGAAUUUCGCUUUGAUCCGCACAUUAUAAUCCUUCCAGCUAAAAUCAAUAUCGGUACGUUGGUACGUAUUCAAACGUAAUAACGAUUAAAGUGAAUAAUACGUUGAGAUAGUAACCGGGUAUAAUAAGGAUUAGUAGAAUGGAAAAAUAUUUUCACCGAGGAUAUGCAAGAAAAACGAUACAGUCGAUACCAUUCGCCUAUCGGGAAACACCCUCUUCCGAUGAGAAGCACUUUCGAAGGUCGCGUACACGUAUAUAGAUAUCUACAUACAUACAUAUAUAAAUAUAUAAAUAUAUAUAUAUAUAUAUAUAUACAGCUGUGUGUGUAUAUAAGUGUAUAGAUGUAUGUGUGUACGUAUGUGUAUAUAUAUAAGUACAAUCCAUAGCGCGAGUAUAAGUACAUAUAGGCUCAACUGAAAAGCUCUCGCGCUCUUUUCUCGACGCCAUCUUAAAUCCCCCUGGUGGAAAACUAGCUCUUCAGGCAAGUGCACGAACUCCUACUUUCCGAACCCCCAAAAUCCGCCAACGCAUUUUCUCGAGAAUCGCAUACGAAACUUCCUUCGACUUAUCUUCGAAACGAAAAGUAACAGAGAAGAGAGAGAGAGAGAGAGAGAGAGAGAGAGAGAGAGAGAGAGAGAGAGAGAGAGAGAGAGAGAGACAUAAAUAAAAAUAGAAGCAGAAAAAGGAAGAAGAAGAAAAAGAAAAAGAAAUAAAAAAAAGAAAGCAAAUAUCGAUAGAAAGGAAAGAUCGAGAAAGGAAAAUGUAUAAAUCCUUUUUUCCUGAUCCCUCGAGAAAGUCGAGACAAGAAUACGUGGCUCGUCUCGAAUGCGAAAAAACGCGUUCGUUCGCGCGUUCAUCUCUUCCAAUAAAAGAGAACAAUCAUUUUAUCGCGCACGAGAGAACAUCGUGGAUGAAAAAGAAGGAUGACUCGGGUAGAAACGUUGAAAUCAAUUGAAAGAAGAUAGGAGUUAGUAAUUAAUCGUUCGUGGAUGAUCGUACGCUCGAUUUCACGUUGGUGUCUCGAAAAAGAUGAACGAAAAACGAUUUCAUGGUAAGAGAGAAAUAAACGUAGGAGAGACAGAAAGAGAGAGAGAGAGAGAAAGAGAGAGAGAGAGAAAGAGAGAGAGAGAGAGAGAGAGAGAGAGAGAGAGAGAGAGAGAAUAUCGUACGGUAGUCGGUUUAAUUAAUUACCAAGCUCACUCAUUCUCUCCACUUUGACCGACUCUCACCGAAAUCUCAUCGGUGCAUCGUCGAUCGGUAAAGUGAAAAUAACCGAAACGAUCGUGUCGGUAGUCUACCCCUCUACCCCGGUGUUUGUGUUACGUCGAUUAAUUAAUAUUUCGAUUCGGAGCAAGCGAUAACGUGGAAGAGGGAAUGGACAGCGAAAGGGACUAGGCGGCCAUCAAGGGCGUACAUCAAAGGACCACCCGCUGAAUGCGAUUCAGCGGUCCGACACUGAAAACCAAGAGCUGGAUAUCGAUCGAUCGAAACCAGAGUAGAUCCCUCUUUUUCCUAUCGUCCAUUCGGGUAAAUGUAUGUUCUGCGUAGGUAUAUGGCUUUUAAAAGCUCUCGCGAAAGCUCGACUUUAUAUUAAGAGAUAUCGGACUAAAGUUAAUGCGACUGCUAAAGAGAUUGUGACCGUAUUACGAGAUAUAAUCGAAUCGAUCGAUAGUUACUUAAAAUGUUAAGUAUUGAGGAAUAAUAUUCUGAUAAAUUGUAUAAUUAUAAUUAAUAUUUCAUUCGUUUUUAAUCCUUUCUAAUACUAAUUUCACGCAUUAAGUAACUUUUACUUACAUUUACUUACAAACAUUAAUUACAUAUUUUAUUUUAUCAUCACAAAGUUAAGUAUUACUUCAUAUUCGACGAUUAAUGUUUGCUAAAUGUACAUUAUAGUUAUAUGAUAUAUAAGUUAUAAUAUAAUAUGUAAUAAACGUGCUCGUGUUAUAAUCAUUAUCACGUUCAUUUCAAGUUUAAUAUUAUACAGUUUUUCUUUCGAUAAGAGAAAAUAUUGAAUUACGACGAUUUAAUAUUAUAUUAUAUAUCCUGUAAUAUGAAUGAUUGAUAUUGUUUAGUUUAUAUUGAAUGUUUUAGUUGAUACAAGUUAUACUUAUUUUUAAUAUAAUAUAGUUAUACAAUAUCAUUUCAAUUUCAUGUUAUAUAAUUUUUGUUCUAUUUUGUUUAAACGUGAUGAAAAAUUGGGUUAAAGCUCAAAGAAGAAGCUUUAAAAAUAAAAAAGCGAUGUUUACUGUUUUACUUAUAACAUUACGUGCAUGUCAUUAACGCUUAGAUGCACCAACAAGAGUAACGAUAUUUGACUGCUUCAUUAACACUUCCAACACUUCGUGUUGCCGUUCAAAAAUAUAAUAUAAUCUAAACGAA